AUGGGGAACGAACACCACAGUAUAAACAUUUGCUGUUCCAAGAAUGAUUGGAUUUUACAACACAAACUACUAUAUUUACACGGUAUACAUCAACAGAUCCAAAACAAAAGUAUAUUUCACAAGCCAAACGGAUUACACUUCAGUACAGUACAUGAGUUCGAUCUGGACGCCGCGCCUCCGUGCAACCAUACCGUGUGCCCGUGCUCACCGGAGCAGCAACAGCCAGCAGCCACACCCCUUCUCCUUCCUUUCUCCAUGGACAGGAGCACACCAACACCACCAUGGACGCCCGAGAGGAGCUCAAGCCGUCCGCCGCCAAGGCGGAGCUCGCCACCCUUGUCCGGGCGCUGGAUCGGGUCGCGAAUCCCCGGAUCCAUUGGACCCCAUCAACUCCGUCAGUGCCAAGCCCCGCCGCCGGCAGAGGGAAGCAGCGGAGGUGGAGGCCCGCAGAUCGAGAGAAGGGAGAGAGGGAGGAAGAGGAGAGCAGCGGAGGCGAACGCCGGCGGCGCGCGGAGGCUAGUGUCGCGCGGAAACGGGCCGAGGCCAGAUGCGGGCGGAGGCCGACGGCGCGCGGAGACGGGGAGAGGACGUAUGCGGGCGUAG
rnacentral:rRNA from 1 species